UACGGGGGGUGCAAACGUUGCUCGGAAUUAUUGGGCGUAAAGCGCACGUAGGCGGUCCUGUAAGUCGGGUGUGAAAGCCCCAGGCUUAACCUGGGAAGUGCACUCGAAACUGCAGGGCUUGAGUAUGGAAGAGGGUCUCGGAAUUCCCGGUGUAGAGGUGAAAUGCGCAGAUAUCAGGAAGAACACCCGUGGCUAAGGCGGCUCUCUAGUACGGUACUGACGCUGAGACGCGAAAGCGUGGGGAGCGAACAGG
rnacentral:rRNA from 1 species